rnacentral:rRNA from 1 species
CCUACGGGAGGCAGCAGUGAGGAAUAUUGGUCAAUGGACGAGAGUCUGAACCAGCCAAGUAGCGUGAAGGAUGACUGCCCUAUGGGUUGUAAACUUCUUUUAUAUGGGAAUAAAAUGUUCCACGUGUGGGAUUUUGUAUGUACCAUAUGAAUAAGGAUCGGCUAACUCCGUGCCAGCAGCCGCGGUAAUACGGAGGAGCCGAGCGUUAUCCGGAUUUAUUGGGUUUAAAGGGAGCGUAGGUGGAUUGUUAAGUCAGUUGUGAAAGUUUGCGGCUCAACCGUAAAAUUGCAGUUGAGACUGGCAGUCUUGAGUACAGUAGAGGUUGGCGGAAUUCGUGGUGUAGCGGUGAAAUGCUUAGAUAUCACGAAGAACUCCGAUUGCGAAGGCAGUUCACUGGACUGCAACUGACACUGAGGCUCGAAAGUGUGGGUAUCAAACAGGAUUAGAUACUCCAGUAGUC